rnacentral:rRNA from 1 species
CCUACGGGUGGCAGCAGUGGGGAAUAUUGGACAAUGGGGGGAACCCUGAUCCAGCCAUGCCGCGUGUGUGAAGAAGGCCCUCGGGUUGUAAAGCACUUUCAGUGAGGAAGAACGCCUGGUGGUUAAUACCCAUCAGGAAAGACAUCACUCACAGAAGAAGCACCGGCUAACUCCGUGCCAGCAGCCGCGGUAAUACGGAGGGUGCGAGCGUUAAUCGGAAUUACUGGGCGUAAAGCGCGCGUAGGUGGCUUGAUAAGCCGGUUGUGAAAGCCCCGGGCUCAACCUGGGAACGGCAUCCGGAACUGUCAAGCUAGAGUGCAGGAGAGGAAGGUAGAAUUCCCGGUGUAGCGGUGAAAUGCGUAGAGAUCGGGAGGAAUACCAGUGGCGAAGGCGGCCUUCUGGACUGACACUGACACUGAGGUGCGAAAGCGUGGGUAGCAAACAGGCUUAGAUACCCUGGUAGUC